AGUGAACGCUGGCGGUAGGCCUAACACAUGCAAGUCGAACGGCAGCACAGUAAGAGCUUGCUCUUACGGGUGGCGAGUGGCGGACGGGUGAGGAAUACAUCGGAAUCUACUUUUUCGUGGGGGAUAACGUAGGGAAACUUACGCUAAUACCGCAUACGACCUACGGGUGAAAGCAGGGGAUCUUCGGACCUUGCGCGAUUGAAUGAGCCGAUGUCGGAUUAGCUAGUUGGCGGGGUAAAGGCCCACCAAGGCGACGAUCCGUAGCUGGUGUGGGAGGAUGAUCAGCCACACUGGAACUGAGACACGGUCCAGACUACUACGGGAGGCAGCAGUGGGGAAUAUUGGACAAUGGGCGCAAGCCUGAUCCAGCCAUACCGCGUGGGUGAAGAAGGCCUUCGGGUUGUAAAGCCCUUUUGUUGGGAAAGAAAAGCAGCAGGUUAAUACCCCGCUGUUCUGACGGUACCCAAAGAAUAAGCACCGGCUAACUUCGUG
rnacentral:rRNA from 1 species